rnacentral:lncRNA from 1 species
GAUGUAAAAAUUGUCUGAAACGGGAACGAGAAUGGGCUAUUCGGAGAGGUUUAAGGGUUUCAGUCACAUCGUCUCUGUUUGGCGAUGCCCGCAAUUUUUGGCUCAUCCACCGUCCCUUUUGCUCCGAUAUGGCUAUGGAAAAACUCAGAAUCAAAUUUUCGAGUGGGUAGGAAAAAAAUUUACCUUUUUUGGCGGUCGGUGGUGGGUCUGGUGCGACGGCGGUGAGGAGUCGGUCUCCUU